CAGGAAUCGAAAGACUCCCUACAACCCCUGUGAACGUACCGAAACGUUGCCUCGGCGGGCGCCGCGGUAGGCCUCCUCUCCCCCCGGGGAGGGGGCUCCCCGCGGCACCCCAGCCCGCCGGCGGCCCUACAAACUCUGUCUGCAUAGCGUUGGAUCUCGGAGCAUAGCGAAAUAGUCA
rnacentral:misc_RNA from 1 species